AGAGUUUGAUCCUGGCUCAGGACGAACGCUGGCGGCGUGCUUAACACAUGCAAGUCGAACGGUGAAGCCCUUCGGGGUGGAUCAGUGGCGAACGGGUGAGUAACACGUGGGCAAUCUGCCCUGCACUCUGGGACAAGCCCUGGAAACGGGGUCUAAUACCGGAUAUGACCUUCCUCCGCAUGGGGGUUGGUGUAAAGCUCCGGCGGUGCAGGAUGAGCCCGCGGCCUAUCAGCUUGUUGGUGGGGUAAUGGCCUACCAAGGCGACGACGGGUAGCCGGCCUGAGAGGGCGACCGGCCACACUGGGACUGAGACACGGCCCAGACUCCUACGGGAGGCAGCAGUGGGGAAUAUUGCACAAUGGGCGAAAGCCUGAUGCAGCGACGCCGCGUGAGGGAUGACGGCCUUCGGGUUGUAAACCUCUUUCAGCAGGGAAGAAGCGCAAGUGACGGUACCUGCAGAAGAAGCACCGGCUAACUACGUGCCAGCAGCCGCGGUAAUACGUAGGGUGCGAGCGUUGUCCGGAAUUAUUGGGCGUAAAGAGCUCGUAGGCGGCCUGUCGCGUCGGAUGUGAAAGCCCGGGGCUUAACCCCGGGUCUGCAUUCGAUACGGGCAGGCUAGAGUGUGGUAGGGGAGAUCGGAAUUCCUGGUGUAGCGGUGAAAUGCGCAGAUAUCAGGAGGAACACCGGUGGCGAAGGCGGAUCUCUGGGCCAUUACUGACGCUGAGGAGCGAAAGCGUGGGGAGCGAACAGGAUUAGAUACCCUGGUAGUCCACGCCGUAAACGUUGGGAACUAGGUGUUGGCGACAUUCCACGUCGUCGGUGCCGCAGCUAACGCAUUAAGUUCCCCGCCUGGGGAGUACGGCCGCAAGGCUAAAACUCAAAGGAAUUGACGG
rnacentral:rRNA from 1 species